rnacentral:lncRNA from 1 species
GCAGCUUGAAGUGGGGCUGGGGUUUCCUCCUUCCUGAGGGGCAGCAAGGGGCAAGAGCUCUGUCCCUGGUGCCUUGCAGCUGGCCCACGCCCUCGGCUCACUGGCCAGCUAUGCCUUCCAAGACCCCCUACCUUAAAGGAGUCAACAGUGCUCCAUACCCUGCUGAUUUCAGGAUUUCCUAAAGAAAAGUUGUGUUCAGGACUUCCCUGGUGGUCCAGUGGCUAAGACUCCUCCACACUCCCAAUGCAGGGCGCCCAGGUUUGAUCCCUGGUCAAGGAACUAGAUCCCUCCUGCCACAGCUAAGCUAACAGUUCAGCAUGCCACAGCUAAAGAUCCCUCAUGUCACAGCUAAGACCUGGCACAGCCAAAUUAAUAAAUUUUUUUUUUUUUUAAUGAAAGAAGAGUUAAUGUUCAGUCACUAAAUCAAACAAAAGAAAAAAAAUAGAGGGAAGUAGCACUCUCAGCUGAAGAGAGUCCCAGAUCUGCCACCAAGAGAAUUAUUUGUAAUUUAACUGCUUUUAUUUAUUUCAAUGAAAUAUUUCACAUGCAUGAAAGAUCGUGGGUUGAAGAAUAAUAUUAAAACUGUCAUCCACAGUCAUCCUACCUGCCGAAGCUUCAGACAUUGAAGGAUUAUUCUUUAAUGAGAAGAAGAGAGUGAUUCAGGCCUGAACUGGGCCAGCCCCCCUGUUCCCUGCUUCUCCGGGGCUCUCCAGGAGGAUGCAGCUGAGUUAUGUUAGUGGGAAAUUGGCAAGCUCAGAUUUAUGACCUAAUAUAUAGCAGCUUCCGUGUAUCGCCUUCGUCAAUCAGCACCGGCUGGAAAUAACACCUGCUUCCUGUUGGCGAGCCCCCUGCCUCUGUGUCCUGACUGGUGGGGCAGGCAGACGGCUCCUGCAACUGUCUGCUCUGAUGUUCCAUCGCCAUGUUCAGACCAUCCUGAGUUUUUAUUUUCCAUGUGUUUCCAUGACUCAUCCUAGGGACCUGGACUUUGUUCCCCAGCGUUGUUGGGAACUUGCUGGUAUUUUCUUUUGUAGGUGGCCAUCAAGUAGAUGCAAGGUCUUGGGGUCAUUCCUCAGCCUGAGAUCCUGCCUUCAACCCCAGGCUGUCUUCUUCCAUCCACUGGAGCCCGCUGACCUGCCCCCAGUUCUCGGAAGCAGGCCUUCUGCCUCCCCCAGCUAAAGUAUGUUUCUGAACAAAUUGCUGAGACUCCAGUCAGAGAUGAAGCUCCUCCAGGAAGACUGGAUACUGGGCUAGCUGUCAGGAAGCCUGGCUUGUCAAGUCGGAAAACGAAAAUGUUAGUGAUGAACAGCACUUCUGGUGACUCUCUGUUGGAGGGGAGGUGUUUUUGCAUCAGCACACUAUGGAGGUGCUAUCCAUCAGGGGCCAGAAGAUGGAUUUUGCCCCCUCGCCAUCUUGCCUAGCUGCUGGCAUCACUCGGCAGUAUCUCCGAAUUCACACUUUCUUUGGAAAUCCCAGAUGGACCCUUCCCAGAACCAGAAAAGCUAUUUUUUUCUUUCUUUCUGAAAGAUGGCACCUUAUUUCCAUGACUUUUCUUGCCUAGCACUGAGACAUCUCAACCACUCCCAAGGUUUUGUUUCAUUGUGGUAGAAUUUCAUUCCUAGGUGAAACCCCUACAGUUUAGCCUGUAGAAACAGGAGGAAAGAGCAGAUAGCCUGUCAUAUAGGGACAUCUGGAAUUAUGGGGCUCCUUCUCCUGCUUAUCGGGGAUGUAGUUGAUGAAAAAGACAGCUGUUUUGGACCCAUCUCCUGUUUCUCCUCCCAAAUGCCAAGAAGGGGGAGCUGCUUCCUGAGCUCAGCCUUGCUGCUCGCAUACCAGAGACCAUCCCCUAGCGCAUCCUGCUUCUGCCAGGUGGGGCUGCUGGGGGAGUGAGGGGAGAUGCCGCCUUCCUCGCUUCCUUCUUACGUUCCUCACAAGCAUCAGUAUCCGAGUAAAACCAGAGGGUUCCUGCCUCAGGUGGCUGUGAUCUGGGCAUCCCUUGCCUCCUGCCCCUCCUCCCGGCCCUAGCUGGGAAACUGCAAGUUAAGAGCUGGAAAUAAAUCAAGGCCUUUGGUGAGCCUGUCAGGUUUCUUAGUUCUUGCCGUUCUCCAUACCCUUCCUGUCAUGGCACCUGCUGAUAGUAACUGGCCAAUAGACUGCUCCUCCUGGAUAAAGGAGAGUGAGAUAUAUAUAUACCCAUACACACAAUGAAACACUACUGAGCCGUAAGAAGAAUGGAACAAUGCCAUUUGCAGCAACAUGGAUGGACCUAGAGAUCAUCGUACUAAGUGAAGUAAGUCACAAAGAGAAAGACAAAUAUAUGAUAUCACUUACACGUGGGAUCUAAAAUAUGAUACAAAUGAACUUAUUUACAAAAUGGAAAUAGAUGCACUGAUAUGGAAAACAAAUUUAUGGUUACUAUAAGGAAACGAGGAGAGAGGGAUAAAUUAGGAAUUUAGGGUUAACAGAUACAUAUUACUACAUAUAUAAUAGAUAACAAGGACUUCCUGCAUAGCACAGGGAACUAUAUUCAAUAGCUUGCAGUAAACGACAAUGGAAAGAAUAUGAAAAAAGAAUGUAUAUAUUUGGAAUAACUUUGCUGAGCACCUGAAUUGAACACAAUGUAGGAGAUCAGCUAUACUUCGACAAAACUAACUAAAUAAAAGAGUGCUCCUCUUAGCCUCCCCGUUCAUAACAGAGUUGUUGGGAGGGCAGGGUAGAAGGCUGGGUGUGGGAGAAAAAUGCUACUGAAAGGGUCUGAUUGUUGCUGCUCCUACUGACUCAGCUCCAGGCCGCUCUCUGUUUUCCCAGCCCACUUUAGCCUACUGUCCCCAAAGUCGGUUCCCACCCAGGCCUUACUGGAAAUGAAGCCACAUCAACAGCCCCGCAGGGCAGUGUUUUGUGACCACCUUUCCAAGGAGGUUGUGUAGGAUUUCAACGUGCUGUUUCCCUGCCCUGCUGCCCUCAGUGUCUUUCAUUUAUGUUAUUUUCCUCCUUUUUCCUUUUGGCAGUAAAAUAUACAUAACAAAAAUUUUUCCAUUUUGAUCAUUUUUGAACAUACAAUUCAGUGGCAUUAGAC